UGGGGUGUAGCCAAGCGGUAAGGCAUAGGACUUUGACUCCUACAUGCGAUGGUUCAAUCCCAUCCACCCCAG
rnacentral:tRNA from 1 species